UACGGGGGGGGUAAGCGUUGUUCGGAAUUACUGGGCGUAAAGGGCUCGUAGGCGGCCAACUAAGUCAGACGUGAAAUCCCUCAGCUUAACUGGGGAACUGCGUCUGAUACUGGAUGGCUUGGAUUCGGGAGAGGGAUGCGGAAUUCCAGGUGUAGCGGUGAAAUGCGUAGAUAUCUGGAGGAACACCGGUGGCGAAGGCGGCAUCCUGGACCAACACUGACACUGAGGAGCGAAAGCCAGGGGAGCAAACGGG
rnacentral:rRNA from 1 species